AACGAACGCUGGCGGCAGGCCUAACACAUGCAAGUCGAGCGCCUCGCAAGAGGAGCGGCAGACGGGUGAGCAACGCGUGGGAAACUACCCUUUGGUACGGAACAACUCGGCGAAAGCUGAGCUAAUACCGUAUGUGUCCUCCGGGAGAAAGAUUUAUCGCCAAAGGAUGUGCCCGCGUCGGAUUAGCUAGUUGGUGGGGUAACGGCCCACCAAGGCGACGAUCCGUAGCUGGUCUGAGAGGAUGAUCAGCCACACUGGGACUGAGACACGGCCCAGACUCCUACGGGAGGCAGCAGUGGGGAAUAUUGGACAAUGGGGGCAACCCUGAUCCAGCCAUGCCGCGUGAGUGAUGAAGGCCUUAGGGUUGUAAAGCUCUUUCGCCCGCGAAGAUAAUGACUGUAGCGGGAGAAGAAGCCCCGGCUAACUUCGUGCCAGCCGCCGCGGUAACAC
rnacentral:rRNA from 1 species